rnacentral:lncRNA from 1 species
UGACCCAGCUCUCCGACCCGAACCCGCACCCGUUUCUCCCUUCUCUUCUCGGCUCAUUCGACUGCGACGAGUAUUUGGGCUGGGCCGUUCCUUACUGCCCCGGCGGCGACCUCAACGUCCUCCGCCACCGUCAAAACGACGGCGUUUUCUCCCCGACGGUGCUCCGGUUUUAUCUGGCGGAGAUCGUCUGCGCGUUGGAGCACCUCCAUAGCAUGGGGAUCGCUUACCGCGAUUUGAAGCCGGAAAACGUGCUCAUCCAACAGUCUGGUCACGUGACCCUCACGGACUUCGACCUUUCCAGAAGGCUGAAACACCA